GAGGGUGCAAGCGUUACUCGGAAUCACUGGGCGUAAAGAGUGCGCAGGCGGGGUAGCAAGUCAGAUGUGAAAGGCUAUGGCUUAACCAUAGAACUGCAUUUGAAACUGUUACUCUUGAGUAUGGGAGAGGUAGGUGGAAUUCUUGGUGUAGGGGUAAAAUCCGUAGAGAUCAAGAGGAAUACUCAUUGCGAAGGCGACCUACUGGAACAUUACUGACGCUCAUGCACGAAAGCGUGGGGAGCAAA
rnacentral:rRNA from 1 species